AAGAAAAAUCAACCAAAAAAAUGAGUUCGCGUGUCACCUCUGACAUGCGUGUCAUAGGUUCGCCAUCACUGGGCUAGGGUAAGCCAUGAACAUUUUAAGUGCAGUGUGUGAAGACAUACUCUGAGUUAUAUAACUCAGUGGCACAACU
ensembl:snoRNA small Cajal body-specific RNA 1